UACGUAGGGUGCGAGCGUUGUCCGGAAUUAUUGGGCGUAAAGAGCUCGUAGGCGGUUUGUUGCGUCUAUCGUGAAAACCUGCAGCUUAACUGUGGGCUUGCGGUGGAUACGGGCAGACUUGAGUUCGGUAGGGGAGACUGGAAUUCCUGGUGUAGCGGUGAAAUGCGCAGAUAUCAGGAGGAACACCGGUGGCGAAGGCGGUUGCCUGGGGCUUUGCUGACGCUGAGGCGCGAAAGCGUGGGGAGCGAUCCGG
rnacentral:rRNA from 1 species